AAAAUUGGAAUGCUAAAAUUCCAGCAAUCUAUUUGUGCUCAUCUAAGAAGCCCCACCCCCAGCCUUCAAGAUGGAUGAUAGUUUGGAUAAAUUUAUAGAAGAACGUAAAGCCAAAUUGGCCAAAGACAAAGCAGAAUUGGAACAUGACCCACCUUACAUGGAAAUGAAGGGAAAGACAUCAGAGAAGCUUUCUGAAAAUAGUAAAAUACUAUUCUCCAUGGCUAAGGAAAACAUACCGCCAAACUAUCAACAAACCAAGGGGUCUUU